rnacentral:ncRNA from 2 species
GUUCCCGAGGAGCGUUGCGACGGCCACCGCCAGGUGCGCUGCCAGGCUCGGGGCCCGGCCCGGAGCAGCCUGCUUCGCCCCGCCGGAUGCAACGGCGCUCACUCCCC